rnacentral:rRNA from 2 species
GGACGGGUGAGUAAUGCCUAGGAAUCUGCCUGGUAGUAGGGGGAUAACGCUCGGAAACGGACGCUAAUACCGCAUACGUCCUACGGGAGAAAGCAGGGGACCUUCGGGCCUUGCGCUAUCAGAUGAGCCUAGGUCGGAUUAGCUAGUUGGUGAGGUAAUGGCUCACCAAGGCGACGAUCCGUAACUGGUCUGAGAGGAUGAUCAGUCACACUGGAACUGAGACACGGUCCAGACUCCUACGGGAGGCAGCAGUGGGGAAUAUUGGACAAUGGGCGAAAGCCUGAUCCAGCCAUGCCGCGUGUGUGAAGAAGGUCUUCGGAUUGUAAAGCACUUUAAGUUGGGAGGAAGGGUUGUAGAUUAAUACUCUGCAAUUUUGACGUUACCGACAGAAUAAGCACCGGCUAACUCUGUGCCAGCAGCCGCGGUAAUACAGAGGGUGCAAGCGUUAAUCGGAAUUACUGGGCGUAAAGCGCGCGUAGGUGGUUCGUUAAGUUGGAUGUGAAAGCCCCGGGCUCAACCUGGGAACUGCAUUCAAAACUGUCGAGCUAGAGUAUGGUAGAGGGUGGUGGAAUUUCCUGUGUAGCGGUGAAAUGCGUAGAUAUAGGAAGGAACACCAGUGGCGA